ACAUUUAAGUGCUUGCCUAGUAGUUUUCCUGCAUCAAGGAUGUGUGUGGUAGCCAUGCCUAAUUUGUUGUGAUUGUUUUUAUGUCCCUUUAAAACCACAAUGCAACUUUUAAACUGCAAGAAGUGAUACACACAUGAAGAAUUCUUAUACUUAAAUGCUUGUUUUAAAGAAACUACAUACGAACAAAAUUGAAAAGCUCAUGGAUGUAGAUGUGCAAGAAUAAUCAUAUCCUCCUUCAAUAGAAAGAUGUGACCAUUGAACAAAGGCCUGGAAGAAGUUCAAAUAAUUUUGAUUAUCUAAAAAUAAAAUUACUUUAUAAAAUAAAAUACAACAAAUGACAUCAUAAAAUGAGAUAGUUUCCUUUAUGUUCUUUUUAUUAAAGCAUUGUGUAAAUAUAUUUACAUAUAUUUAAUUUAUGUAAAUACACAUAUUUGUUUUUAUAUAUUUAUACAUACAUACACAUUGGCUUUGUGCACAAGCAUAUCCACCCUUCACAUGUAUGCAUAUUGCCCACACACAAAUAAAAAAGUACAAUUAUCUAAUGCUGGUACUAUUUUAUUUUAUUUCAGAUAUUACUGAGUAUCCAACAUAAUAUUAUUAUAUAGGCUAUAACACAUUCAGGCCUUAUAGGCUCUGUGUGUGUGUGUGUGUAUGUGUGUGUGGUGCAUUACAAUCAAAAUUAAUUAGAUAAGGUAGAAUAUAGCUUGCAGAGCUAGCAGUUUAUUUACAUAUUUAGGAGAAAUAAUUUUAUUUUGCCCCAUAAUUUCUAUGUCUUCAAAAUUCUUACUACUUCUUUUGAAGGACACUUAAAAGAUUAAUCUUGAAAAAGUUUCAUUGAGUAAAUGUGAUCUUCAGGUAGAUGAUUUAAGAGUCAUGGGAAUAUUUCCGUGAAUAAUAAGACUUUUCAAAGUAAUCUCCAUUAGGCCUGAGAGUAGUUAUACCAUUUGUUCCAAAUUCUGCUCAUGACUGUGGAACCCCAUGUUCUGGAGAAUUUGACAAUUUCUCCCCCAUGUUUUCCAAAUGCAUAGGGACAUUUAAGGUUUUAACUAGAGAACAAAGAUUAACUCCCACUUUCCCACUUGAGUGAUAUGUGGUCAUCAGAAGUUUCAUGCAAUGGCAUGGAGCCAACUUUCCCUCCCCAGGAAACCUUUCCUCCAUUGAGAACUUAUCCGAGUGGUUGAACUUUUGAGCAUGAAAACACUGCAGCUCUUCUCUCUCUAGUCAGGUUGAUAUUUAUUCAUUACCCUUAAGCAAGCACCCCACUCCUUAGUGAUUCAUGGCCUGAUCUCGUCCAUGGAUUUCCUAACAUUUGUGACUUUUCGAUCUUCUGGCCCUACAGGUAGAAUUAAGGGAGAAUAUAGAACAGAGAAAUACUUCCGAAGAGUACAUCUUAGUAAUGACACAUUUCGUUGCUAAGAAUGAGCAAUGUGGCUCCACUUUACUGCAGGGGAUUACAGGAGUGUCGUGUAUUUGUGCUCCCAGAACGUGGCUUUGUGGUGAAAGCUUUCACUCCCUUAAUUUGCUAAUGAGUGCCCUAAAUCAUGGGAUACAUGUAAAAAGGGUAAAUCGGACAUAUUCUUUUGACUCUAUAGAAACCCCAGACUCAUUCAUAC
rnacentral:lncRNA from 1 species